UAUACUGUGGCGUUACGGAGUCUACCCUU
rnacentral:sRNA from 1 species